CGGGGAUGGAUUAGCGGCGGACGGGUGAGUAACACGUGGGCAACCUGCCUCAAAGUGGGGGAUAGCCUUCCGAAAGGAAGAUUAAUACCGCAUAACAUUAGUUUUUCACAUGAAAUACUAAUUAAAGGAGUAAUCCGCUUUGAGAUGGGCCCGCGGCGCAUUAGCUAGUUGGUGAGGUAACGGCUCACCAAGGCCACGAUGCGUAGCCGACCUGAGAGGGUGAUCGGCCACAUUGGAACUGAGACACGGUCCAGACUCCUACGGGAGGCAGCAGUGGGGAAUAUUGCACAAUGGGCGAAAGCCUGAUGCAGCAACGCCGCGUGAGUGAUGAAGGUCUUCGGAUUGUAAAGCUCUGUCUUUGGGGACGAUAAUGACGGUACCCAAGGAGGAAGCCACGGCUAACUACGUGCCAGCAGCCGCGGUAAUACGUAGGUGGCGAGCGUUGUCCGGAUUUACUGGGCGUAAAGGAUGCGUAGGCGGAUGUUUAAGUCAGAUGUGAAAAUCCCGAGCUUAACUUGGGAACUGCAUUUGAAACUGGAUAUCUAGAGUGCGGGAGAGGAGAAUGGAAUUCCUAGUGUAGCGGUGAAAUGCGUAGAGAUUAGGAAGAACACCAGUGGCGAAGGCGAUUCUCUGGACCGUAACUGACGCUGAGGCAUG
rnacentral:rRNA from 1 species